rnacentral:lncRNA from 1 species
CAGCAUAAAAGAGAAAUGCUUUGUUCUGAAGCUCCUAAUCAAUUUUGAAAUUGCAGUACCAUAAUUUAAAAAUGGGUUACCAGGUUUAGGAAGCAAGACUUGCCUUACAGCUGAGGCCUUGGUUUCCACAGUUUAGUUUUUAGAAGCCCACAAGCAUUUUAAGAUGUGAAAUAGCUCCUUAAGUACAAACUAAGUGUGCCAGGUCCUGGACACAUUGCAAGCAUUAUGAGCCCUUUAUUCAUUUGUGAAUGGUGUUAAACAACAUCACCACCCAGUGAUGGUGUUAAAGCAGACUGGAUAAGUCCUGUAAGAAAAUAAGAAAGGCAUAAUUGCAUUUACAUGCCAACUUAAAUUCAUUCUGCACCUUUUGUCAUUUGAGGUCACUAAAUGGAGAAGCAAAUGUAAUUUCUGUCAUAUGGGAGAAAUUCCAAUGAAUUAGCAAAAUUGACCUUAAUAAACAAUAUGUAAUUGCAAGUGUAAUAUCUUCCAGAUAAAAGCAAUACCAUUUUGAUAGUUCAGACAAUGCUUUAAAAAAAUUUAACUACUUUAAAACAUCCCAAAUUUGUAGGCCAUGACAACUGGGUUUCAGAUCCCAACUUGUGUUUAUUCUAAACUUCCAGUGUAACCACAUCAGAGAGUCUUCCAGGCAUGAGGUCUUGCCCUUGUUUGCAUUCAAAUCAGCUGCAUUAAGUUGCUUAUCUUGAGGCUGAGUAAAUAAACUCUAGUUUUCUACUCAGACAAUGCUUAAUGAAGACCAAGACCCGGUUCUGCUACCAACCUCUGCUGAAGUGAUAGACUUUUAUGUGCAAUUAGCUGGCAUUUGGUUGGUUGCAUUAAUAGUGGUCUGCAGUAUUUAAUAAGGUGUUAUCCUAGGCUAACAUAGAAUGCUACCCUAUGUCACAAGUGCAGCACGUUUGGUGGAAUUUGUCCUCCUUAUGGUAUCACCAGGAUCCUUUUGGGUUAUUCUGAAGAUGUGUCCUCUCUUUUUCACAAAGAAGCUGCUAAGCAUGUGAGCUUUCUCAUAAUGCAAGAUGGGAAGAAAUCUGAAAUGGAAAAGUUUCUGAGGACAGGUAGGUGACCUGUUUUCCAAGC